rnacentral:rRNA from 1 species
UCGAGAGUUUGAUCCUGGCUCAGGAUGAACGCUAGCGGCAGGCUUAACACAUGCAAGUCGAGGGGUAUAGUUCUUCGGAGCUAGAGACCGGCGCACGGGUGCGUAACGCGUAUGCAAUCUACCUUUUACAGAGGGAUAGCCCAGAGAAAUUUGGAUUAAUACCUCAUAGUAUGUGAGAAUCGCAUGGUUUUCACAUUAAAGUUCCAACGGUAAAAGAUGAGCAUGCGUCCAUUAGCUAGAUGGUAA